rnacentral:rRNA from 1 species
GAAAGAUUCAUCGGAAGAGGAUGGGCAUGCGGCGCAUUAGCUUGACGGCGGGGUAACGGCCCACCGUGGCGACGAUGCGUAGGGGUUCUGAGAGGAAGGUCCCCCACACUGGUACUGAGACACGGACCAGACUCCUACGGGAGGCAGCAGUGAGGAAUAUUGGUCAAUGGGAGAGAUCCUGAACCAGCCAAGCCGCGUGAGGGAAGACGGCCCUAUGGGUUGUAAACCUCUUUUGUCGGAGAACAAAACCCGGGACGAGUCCCGGACUGCGUGUAUCCGAAGAAAAAGCAUCGGCUAACUCCGUGCCAGCAGCCGCGGUAAUACGGAGGAUGCGAGCGUUAUCCGGAUUUAUUGGGUUUAAAGGGUGCGUAGGCGGUCCGUUAAGUCAGCGGUAAAAUUGCGGGGCUCAACCCCGUCGAGCCGUUGAAACUGGCAGACUUGAGUUGGCGAGAAGUACGCGGAAUGCGCGGUGUAGCGGUGAAAUGCAUAGAUAUCGCGCAGAACUCCGAUUGCGAAGGCAGCGUACCGGCGCCAGACUGACGCUGAGGCACGAAAGCGUGGGGAUCGAACAGGAUUAGAUACCCUGGUAGUCCACGCAGUAAACGAUGAAUGCUGGUUGUCCGGGUCGAAUGAGACCUGGGCG